CCACCCGCGAGUCCUGGAAGAGGCAGGUCGAAGUUUGAUUUGGCCUCCAGGAAGCCUCAAAGCUGCACACUGGAGUAUGUCGCUCUAAAAGGUGAUAAGGUUAAUAGACACACAUAGACAUGAAUAUUCGGACCGCUGGAUAGAAGAGUCUGUUUUGAAUGUAGUGAGUUUGCAAAACACUUCUGUCUCUGUGAAAACAUUACAGAGGCUGCUCCCAACGCCUUGAGAGAAGUGCAGUCUAGAGAGAGGCCUUGGAGCUUGGAAUCAUUAGCUUCGUGGAAGCACCAUGUGGGCUGGCAGAGGAGACGAUGAAAGAGACCUCAGCACUGGAGUCAGAAGAGACUUUGUCUCCAUCCAGUUCUGCUGUAGCAGGGCACCUUUGGGCAACCCACCAUAUUCCUUCAUCUGAGCCAUGGUGCCGCCCUCAAAAAUGGUUGGAAACAUUCAAUAAAAUAAUACAUAUGGAAACA
rnacentral:lncRNA from 1 species